rnacentral:rRNA from 1 species
UUCCCGUACUUCUUACAAUUGCGAUGGGGGGACGGAGAAGGCUAGGUGGGCCUGGCGACGGUUGUCCAGGUUCAAGUGCGUAGGCUGAAGAGUUAGGUAAAUCCGGCUCUUCUUAAGGCUGAGACACGACGUCGAGCAUCUACGGAUGUGAAGUCAUUGAUGCCAUGCUUCCAGGAAAAGCCUCUAAGCUUCAGAUUGUAAGGAAUCGUACCCCAAACCGACACAGGUGGUCGGGUAGAGAAUACCAAGGCGCUUGA